rnacentral:rRNA from 1 species
AUUGAACGCUGGCGGCAGGCCUAACACAUGCAAGUCGAACGGUAACAGGAAACAGCUUGCUGUUUCGCUGACGAGUGGCGGACGGGUGAGUAAUGUCUGGGAAACUGCCGGAGGGAGAGGGAUAACUACUGGAAACGGUAGCUAAUACCGCAUAACGUCGCAAGACCAAAGAGGGGGACCGUCGGGCCUCUUGCCAGCGGCUGUGUCCAGAUGGGAUUAGCUAGUAGGUGGGGUAACGGCUCACCUAGGCGACGAUCCCUAGCUGGUCUGAGAGGAUGACCCGCGACACUGGAACUGAGACACGGUCCAGACUCCUACGGGAGGCAGCAGUGGGGAAUAUUGCACAAUGGGCGCAAGCCUGAUGCAGCCAUGUCGCAUGUAUGAAGAAGGCCUUCGGGUUGUAAAGUACUUUCAGCGGGGAGGAAGGGAGUAAAGUUAAUACCUUUGCUCAUUGACGUUACCCGCAGAAGAAGCACCGGCUACCUCCGUGCCAGCCGCCGCCGUAA